GCUCAUUGAGAACAUGACACUGCACAUCUUACUGUUCUGAUAAGAAUCUCCUUCCAUCUUGCAAACAAUCAUUCAUCCAAGAAUUGCCUAGUUUUCUUCCUCACUGCCGUGAUUUCAGCAGGCAGCAGCGAGCGCAUAUGUACCGGCCAUGUGGCUGUGGUCACAUGCUCGCCUCCGAGCCGGCCCGGGACCACCCUGCCUGCCCCCCCCCACCCACAGCAGACCACCUCUGAAAGCACAUGCAGGGUCAUGGCUAGGUGUAAGAAGACAACAGGGCUGUGGUGUGUGGGAGAAGAAAUUAGAGGCCAGCCUCACACCCAGCACUCUAAUCCGGCUUUUCAUCUGCUGGGUUUGGUGCGACAACUGGCUCAUGACGUCUUUUAAAAGACUAAAUACAAGGCAAAGUACGCAGAACCCUGAUCCGCUUGGGUCACUCAAUGUGGUCCAACAAAUCAGCGAGUUACUGAGUGCGUCACAAGUCUUGCUUUGGGUUCGAGUCCAAAACCCUUCAGUCAAGUAGAAAGAACAACACUGGAGCAUAAAGCUGUAUUCUACUACUCCCCCUCCACCCUUUCCUCAGUGGAACGCUGGCCAGCAAAGACAUCUGUUAGCUAGCUGACUCAACAGAACUGGGAGUUAGUGUUCUCCUCCAAGCAUGUUCAGACAUCCAGUGAUGUGUUAGUACUUCAUACUGUAUAUUUUAGUGUACUGUAAACUCUAGUCCAGUUUUCCAUUGAUCACUGACAAAAAAACUCUGCUCAGAGGUUAAUCGGGGGUCUCUCUGCGCUCGCUCAGUCCUGUAGUGUGAGCUACUGAAAGAUACUCGCUGAGCCGUCGCUGACUGAUUGCCAAUGAGUAGCAGAUGCGCAGCAUGCUAAAUAUCUGACCCAGUCGGCGACUGGGAGUCAAGAGCAGCAACUACCCACAGCCAAUGGGAUCCAGUAGAAAUAGAACCACGGCUCUAAAACAGACCUCCUGUUUUACCAGAGCUGUUUAUGGGGAGUCUGACCUUUUUCUCUCUCCCUGUUAGAUCACUGUUAAACACUAGAGGGAGCCCGCAAGUGAGCCCUAUAUGAAUGGGGGUAAAAGGAGAUGAAAGCUAAAAGUAGUAUUAAUGAGUAUUCCAUUAAUAUUAAAAAGAACAAUGAUGUAUUUUACUACAAAAGCAAAAAAAGCAUGCCUGUAUAUUACAUUUGUUCUACAGUAAACAAGUUUUACACAGUAA